UCCCUCAUCUGGUGAGAAGUAGAAAGAGGAUUAGAUUCCAGACGUUCUAUGACCAGGCCAUAUCCCCUGAGUGCUAAGGUUGACGUUAGAAUAAUGUCCAUAAGAAUGGGACCCUGAUCCAAUACAAUUAGUGUUGCUGUAAGAAGAGACACGAGAGAGCCUAUUUUCUCUCUCCCCGACCAGGCACAUACCAAAGAAAUGCCAUGUGAGAACAAGCAAGAAGGUGGCCAUCUGUAAGCCAGGAAGAGUGUCCUCACCAGACUUUGAUCUCAGAAUUCCAGCCUCCAUAACUGUUUACAAAAGAUUUUGUGAGAGAGCGGGCAUGAUGGCCGAAUAGGAACAGCUCCAGUCUGCAGCUCCCAGUGGGACUGACACAGAAGGCGGGUGAUUUCUGCAUUUCCAAGUGAAGUACCCGGUUCAUCUCAUUGGGACUGGCUGGACACCAGCUACCACGUGUGAGUCGUGAAGAGACCCUCAUAGCAAGGUGCUGAGGGAGGCUUCUAGCCAACAGCCAGUGAGAAACGGAGGACCUCAGUGCAACAGCCCUUGAGGAACUUCAUCCUGCCAAUAGCCACAUGAGUGAGCCUAAGUGGACCCUCCUCCAGAGACUGCAGCCCCAGAUGACAUCUUAUUGGAACCCUGUGAAAGUACACAGUGAAGCUGUGCCUGGAUUCUUGACCCACAGAACCUGGGAGACAAUAUAUGUUUGCUGUUUCAACUAACUAUAUUUUGAGGUAAUCUGUUACAUAGCAAUAGAUAAGUAAUGCAUAUGCUUAUCAAUAACUUACGAAAUAAUAAUCCAGAUUGUGCCAAAGGGGAAAUUACUGAGUGUUUUUGGGAAGUGGCCUUCCAGGUCACACAAACACUGCGUAGCAAAUGACAGCUGCUAUGCAUUAAAAUUGGUCUGAGUUCUGUCCACAGGUCCCUUAACUCGGCCUUUGGAGGAAUGCAUUUAACACAAUGCCCACCAAGCUCCCUAACACCAUCUCCCAAGGAGCACCUUGUGAAGAGUGUAGUGUGUGAACAUCACCCACAUCACCCUUUCCCCUAGACAGUUCUACUCUCAUUUAAACCACCAGCCGCAGUCAGAAGCCCUUGGGUCAGUUGAAUGCAGAAGGCGGGGAAAGGAAUAAUAUCCAAGAGUCUCAGAAUAUAAUGCUGAGCCCCAUACAUUUCCUCCUAUUUGCAAAAUGUAUGGAAAGUUUUAUUUCAGUAGUUUGGCACUUCCUACUGAGUGGCCUUAAUUUUUUUAAGUGUGCAAAAAUGCAUUCUGAGAGGUGCAUUCAACCAAUGGACUCCACUUAAUGACACAAUAUAGUGACCACCAGGGGUCCUCGCCACAGCUGACACACACCCCUGGGUGUCCUAGAAAGGCGUGGGGUUUUGGAGAGCUGAACCUGAGGCCUUUCUUCUCUAGGCUGUCACCGACUUGUCCAAAUCUGGGAACAUCUGGGGGAGGUGGGGUUUGUAAAAAUGCAAGUCACAGGAGAAAAAUGACGGAGAACCACCUCCCCAGUUAUCUGAAGAAAUAAAUAUUACUUUAUGUAGUUUAUACUCCCGUUAGCCUUGAGGUCUGCAGACAGGACAUAGAGGGAGCAGCUUUCCCUUAGAUCCUCUGGGGCGGGGAGGGCAGUGUGGGACCUCACCUCUAUUUUCUGAUAGACUUCCUUAAACAUCCCUGGGAUGACAUACUGACGCUCCACUGCCUGGAUCUCGUCUCUAGUCGGCCAGAUAUCUUUCAGAAAUACCUGCUGUCCCUUUGCAUUUACUCCUGGGGAAAAAAUGUUUAUUAAUGAGAAAACUUUCUAAUAUGCAAUUUUCAUGAUUAUACAGAGUCAAGCCUCGUUCUCGGUAGUUAUGUUCCAUAAAGCCUGUGUGAACGCUGAAUGAGUGGAUACGGAAUCACUGCCACUGGAGGAAAUACAGGGUUAGGUUCCUGCAAGCCUCUGGUCACCAAUCAAUACAUAACCUUGCUUCAUGUGAGGUUUAUUAUUCACCUUAUUUAAUAGAAAUUGUUGACUCACUGACAUUGAACUUCCAGCCAACAGCACUAUAACUCUGCUGAAUGAAGCCUAUCUAAACAUAAUGCGCAUCACAGUCGGCCUGUGCUUAAGAACACCAGAAGCACUUCAGGACUAUGCUCAAGGACCAUUUUGAACAGCGAAAUCACCACAAAAAGAACAAAAAUGCAAAAAGCAUGGCACUAAGUAGACCAAGAAAAGGAUCCUUAUAUAUCGCAUGAGAGCUGAAACAAGAAGUCAGAGUGACGCCUUGUCAGAUCUCAGCAUAGAACGUGUGUGUUGAGUGAUAUAAAGUUUUCACCCCUUUGUGCUGAUCUGUGAAUGACCGUGAACAUACUACAAAUAUUGAUUUGGAGGUUAAAAUACAUUUUAGUGACGAGGCAAAUCUGCAAGCAUAGAACUCACAAAUAACGAGGAUCAACUGUACGUCUAAAGUUAUGAUUUCCUAAAAGUAAUUUCAGAGGCUUUGUUUUCAUAUUAUCUAUUUGGCUUAGAAUAGAUUGAGGCAGGCAGAGCAAGCAAGCCGAUCUGAGGAAAGGAAAUGAUGUAUCAUUUCUUUGGAAUUCUGAGAAGUUGAAAUAUCUGCAGUAUGUUUCUACAGAGUAUAUAUUAAAACAAUGCCUAUCAUUAAAGUGAGAGCUAGAAAGGGAGGAACUACAGAAGAAACCAGAAUAGCAAGAUGUCUCUCCUUUUGGCACCUAUUUUCCUUUCGUUAUCCUUUACCCUCAGUAGAUUCUUGUUUUAACUACUGCAGUUAAGUCUUAGCUGUAUAUUGGGGAAUAAAGAAACGAUUCUCUUCUUUGUCUUA